rnacentral:sRNA from 2 species
UGUAAAGAGUAAAGAUAAUAUGUCAUCCUUUCUAUGGCCAUGUCAAACUUAGACAUCUCCCGUUGAUAAUGAUAUUGUUUGAAAGGACAGAUUCAUGGUGUAGAUCCGAUCUGAUUCGAUCCCAGAUGAUGUCAGUAGAAAACCCAAGAUCACACGUAGUCUGAAAUGAUCCUGACCCUUAUUUAUUCUGCUAUGGACCUGAGCACUGGUGGGGGUUAUCAGCUUACUGCGUCACCCCGUUCAUGGGCAGUUUUCCUCAGCCAUUCUCUGCUCCUAUCAAGAGAGAAUAUAAAAAUGGAUUUUUCGAGGCAUACUCUUUGUAGGGCUGGGCUUUGUUACUAGCUCUGAGGUUUACUAUUUGUAGAUACGGAGAAAACCAAAAACGGUUGCAAAGGCUGACCAGG